CCGAGCUUCAGCGCAGCCCCCGGCCCGGCGCUCGGCGGGGCGCAGCGGAGCGGAGCGGAGCGGAGCGGAGCGGAGCGGACCCCGCGG
rnacentral:miRNA from 12 species